UACAGAGGGUGCAAGCGUUGCUCGGAAUUACUGGGCGUAAAGCGUGCGCAGACGGCAAGGCAGGUCGGGUGUGAAAGCCCUGGGCUCAACCCAGGAAUUGCAUUCGAAACCAUCUUGCUCGAGUAUGGGAGAGGGGAGCGGAAUUCCUGGUGUAGAGGUGAAAUUCGUAGAUAUCAGGAGGAACACCGGCGGCGAAGGCGGCUCCCUGGCCCAUUACUGACGUUCAGGCACGAAAGCGUGGGGAGCAAACAGG
rnacentral:rRNA from 1 species